rnacentral:rRNA from 1 species
GACGAACGCUGGCGGCGUGCUUAACACAUGCAAGUCGAACGGGAUGAUCUUAAAGCUUGCUUUUAGAGAAUCUAGUGGCAAACGGGUGAGUAACACGUAGACAACCUGCCGACAGGAUGGGGACAACAUUCCGAAAGGAAUGCUAAUACCGAAUGAAGCGGAGGAGAGGCAUCUCUCUUCCGUGAAAGAUGGCCUCUGAACAUGCUAUCACCUGUCGAUGGGUCUGCGUCUGAUUAGCUGGUUGGUGAGGUAACGGCUCACCAAGGCGACGAUCAGUAGCCGGUCUGAGAGGAUGAACGGCCACAUUGGGACUGAGACACGGCCCAGACUCCUACGGGAGGCAGCAGUGGGGAAUCUUCCGCAAUGGGCGCAAGCCUGACGGAGCAACGCCGCGUGAGUGAAGAAGGUCUUCGGAUCGUAAAGCUCUGUUGACGGGGACGAACGUGCGAAGGGUGAAUA